CAAACCCCAGCCACAUUUCCAGCACACAAAAACUUCCAAACGCCUAAACCGCAGUGGCCAGGCGUUCCUCCAGAACCACCUCCCCCAGGAGCUUGCUACAAGUGCCAGAAAUCUAGCCACUAGGCCAAGGAAUGCCGGCAGCCCAGGAUUCCUCCUAAGCCGUGUCCCAUCUGUGCAGGACCCCACUAGAAAUCGGACUGUUCAACUCACCUGGUAGCCACUCCUGGAGCUCCUAGAACUCUGGCCCAAGGCUCUCUGACUGACUCCUUCUCAGAUCUUCUCAGCUUAGCGGCUGAAGACUGACGCUGCCCGAUCGCCUCAGAAGCCCCGUAGACCAUCACGGACGCCGAGCUUUAAGCAACUCUCACAGUGGAAGAGUAGCAGACAAAGCACCAGACCUUGGAUUUCAAAGACCCGAGUCUAUAUCUCAAUCGUCUCAAUCCUGCCAUUAUGUGACGCUGGAAAGAGUGCUAAUGCUGCCUGCCUCACAGGGAGUUGUUGGGAUUAUCUGAGAUAGUACAUGUAAACAUAACUACCCCUUUGCAGGUGCUCAGUGAUGAUUGUCGUGACCCAAUCUACUGCCUUCCCACUUCUCCAACCAUUUAAUUUGAAGAGUGAAAUUGCCUAAAUUGUCUGCUCUACAUCUGAAGAUAUGGUGGCCCCAGAGUGACCCCCUAUGUAGAUCAGAUGGUCAAUGACAAUAGAGGUUAACUGAGAAGAUCAUAAUAGGAGAUUCAGACAGGAAAGCUGGAAUAGAAGACAACGUCAGCUAGGUUGACCCAUCUUCAGAUAAAAUCUUAUUGCCAAUCCAGACUUCCUAGAAAUUAUUUUCUAGCUAAGCAUGAUUCUUGUUAGUUGCUGAGCUAAUGUGAUUAUGCUGUAUCCAUGUGACCAAAGGAAACACUUUGAAUAAAACACAGAAG
rnacentral:lncRNA from 1 species